UGCAGUCGAACGGAGCACUGAGACUUCGGUUUUUGUGCUUAGUGGCGGACGGGUGAGUAACGCGUGAGCAAUCUGCCUUUCAGAGGGGGAUAACGACUGGAAACGGUCGCUAAUACCGCAUAACGUAUUUUGCAGGCAUCUGCGAGAUACCAAAGGAGCAAUCCGCUGAAAGAUGAGCUCGCGUCUGAUUAGAUAGUUGGUGAGGUAACGGCCCACCAAGUCGACGAUCAGUAGCCGGACUGAGAGGUUGAACGGCCACAUUGGGACUGAGACACGGCCCAGACUCCUACGGGAGGCAGCAGUGGGGAAUAUUGCGCAAUGGGGGAAACCCUGACGCAGCAACGCCGUGUGAUCGAAGAAGGUCUUCGGAUUGUAAAG
rnacentral:rRNA from 1 species